CCCGCCACUCCUCGCCCAUUCUCAGCCGCCCGGGCCCCGCCGGCCCGAGGCGGGGAGAGGGUUUGCCUUCGGCUCUUUCUUGCGCUCGGCAUGGAGGACUUCUCGGGGGAGCCGCGUCCGGGCGAGGCGCGCUCGCCUCCUGGGGACCCCCGCCCGGGCACUGCGCGCGGCCGCCGGGGACGCGGGGCGCAGAGGCCGCGGGUGGAACGUGGGGAACGGGUAGGGGGCUCCGGACCCAUAACGUGGAUUACUUGGUGCCCAGGAGCCGGGAGGAGGAGACCCGCGCCCUCGCGCCGGUCCUGUGUGGCUCCGUGCCUGCAGCCGGCGCGCUCCCUGCAGGUGAAAUCGGAGGUCUCAGGAGGACGUGCCGGGUGCUUCUAACCAGGGAAGAAAGACCGGAAGGAAGCAAGGUGAUCUGCUCGAGGUCGCCUCUCACGGGGCAGGUUCUGCACUCCUCUCCAGAGACACCCCUCCCACCGCUGCACGGCAGCCCAGGGCGCUGGCUGGCAGGUUCAGGCCUGGGAAGACAGAUGGAGCGAGAGCUGCUCUUUCUCGCCAUGCUUCAUGACCCCAGCCCACGCCCCAGACCCCACAGAGGACUCGGCUGAGAGCCAGCACCCUGGGCUCCAUCAGGAGUUCCUGCUUUGGAGAAUAAAGGAGAUGCGGGGUGGAGAGCAGAGCCCCUCGGGCGAAGGACUCGUCUGUGCAGGGAGAAGACGCCUUGGCCAGACCCUGGGCUCCAUUCUUGGACGUUCCGUGUUUCGCCGAGACGCUGUCCCCACCCCAGCAGGCGGCCGAAGGCCUUCCUGCCACACCCUGGCCAGGGCCACGGUGCUCUUGGACUCGGCGUUUCUCCUUGUUUGCUCCACGCUCUUCCAGCCGGAUGCUGAGUGAAUAGUUAACUACAUGUAGGUCAAAUGGGAUCUCCGUUUUCGUUCCUGCUCCUCUGGAGAGGCCAGCGUGUGUGCGUUGUGGGGGCCGUGGGGUCGGAUCCCGUCUCGUUUAUUUGGGGUCUUUCCCCCCGGCCAGGUUCCAGAGUGAUGCAGGGGUCAGCGUGGGAGUUCUUCCGGCUCUCAGAUGUUCCGGGCCCCGGCAAAGGCCGCAGCAGGGGAGCCUGUUGCCCUCCAUGCAUGGCUUUGUCUUUGGGUCACACGCAGGUGUCCAUGUGUGUGACAAAAACAGACACUGUCCUUCAUCCUGUCACCUGUGACCCAAGACCUGCAGCCGGCUGUGCAGACCCCUGCUCACCUGGUGGCAGCUGGGGUCCUUGCCAGAUCCCGGUCUUCGUGCCAGGGCAGCCAGCCACCAGGACUGGGGUGUUUUUGAAGGGCCCCUUCCCCCGGGUGUGCAGUUGCCAACAGCUCGAGUCUCCGCUGUUCCUUUCGCUCUGUAGCACAGUGGCUUAACUGUCCAACACGGGGCAACCCCGUCCCCAGUGCAGCCUUGGAGCCGUUGGUGCUUCCUGGUUCCCAAAGCAAAUGGGUGCCUUGUUUUGGGGAAAGGAUUGGAAGUUUCCCCGGCUGUGUGUUUGGGGUCCUUCCUGGCAGCUCAGACUCAGCACAGAACAGUGCAGCUGUCAGUGCUGUUGGAGGGGAAAGAUGGCUGCUUAACCCUGGCACACAGUCACAGCCGUGGCAUUUCGUGGGCUCCCUCGGGUGCCGAGGAACAGAGAGCCGCUCACGCCACUGGCCAAUUGCAGUGCUGGCUGAUGGCAGAGCCGUGGUGGAAGGCAGACAGGAAACACUCCCGGUGGACGCCCAGCACGGGCCUUGUCAAGAGGCCCAAAGGCGUUCAGCACAGCCAGCAGCUGUCGACGGUGCCCAGGGCGAGCAGGGACAGUAAUGUCCUGGUCAUCUGGACCCUCUGUUCAGCACGGGGGUUCACUGUUGUGAUGAGCUGAGAGUGACCCUCGCCCAGUUUGCCUAGGAUAAGGGGUGAGUGUUAAAGUGCGGACAGCCCUAUGCAAACCGUUGGCUGCCCCACUGGGUGACUCCCUGGCACCUGCUGCUGUGCCCAUUUUGCCUGCUGUCACCGAGUGCUGCUCUUGGUUGGCUUGGCCGGUCACCAUUCAGGGCUAUUAUCUGGCCACGCCAUUGGCCACUGGGUUGCCUAUAGAUGGGUGCCAUUGGAUCAGACCCCAGUCCUGAUGAGAUGAUGACAUGGCCAUGAGAUGGUCGGGGUGGGUGAUGUUGAGUGAUGGUCUAGGUGUGAAGGACCAACAGAGACCGUGUCCUUCCGAAGGGUGUUGUGGGGAGUGGGCGGGCCAGAUGUUGGGGGAUUCCCUUCUCAGUCUACCUAGACGGGAGAAAUUAACCUUUCUCAUUAAAAACAAAACUGUUCAUUAAGAAACAGCUGCUGCGAACAGUGGGCAAGGUGUGCAUUGUAUACAGUAAGGGACCAGGAAGAAGGUUGCACAUCUUCGGUAGACAGCGAGCUAAUAUUUCUGAGAUGGUCUUAUCUGGCGAGCAAAGCAGUUCCCUAGAGAACUUCCCGAUAUGCCUUUGAACUCUCAAAUUCUUUAAAAUCCCAAGGGCUUGUAAGUCGGAGCUAAGUAUGUACUUUCUGUCUACGGUCUCCUGAGAACCGUUGAGGUGAGCUCAGAGGGUGUUGAGUGGGACCUCCCCGCCUCUCCUCACCUUUGCCGACAUUGGCUUUAGCCGGGGAAAGGGAGCUUGGGGGUGGUGGGUGCAGGGUGAGGGUAGGGGAGAGAGCAAGCGAGUUGUGCCAGCCCAAGUCUUUGGUGUUUGUGACAAGGAGAGCAGCUUGAUGGCCAAGGGCAGACUCUUUUGCCAUUCGGAAAAAGCCAGGUUUCCAGGACAGCGCUGUCCCCUGAGGCCGCCUGCCAGUCAGGGCAUCCGUCUCCCAUAUUUUUCUCCGGAGCACGAAUCCCCAGUCACCUUGCGUGGUGUGCCCACGGGAGGUGGUUAUGGGCUAGGGUAGCGACAAGCAUGCAGACAUCCAGAGGCUGCUCCCUUGUUAGUUACUCCUGGGAUACCCGUGCACCCAGGGUGGGCCCCUGUGCUCGCCCUUACGUUACAGCCUGUGGUACUGUGGUGGGGGGUGCCAGCCCAGCUCCUGGGGUGUCAGUUUUCAUUUUUGAAAGAUGAGCACAUUUCCAAUGUCCCCUGCAUGUCUGUCCCACGCUCAUUCUCUGAUUCCAUAGGGAGUUCUGCUGUCGUACCAAAAACAACAAGCUCCACCACCCCCCCUUUAUCUUCUCAUCCACGUAGAAUCCCAGAGGCUGUGGUGGGCAUGGGCACCACCCUCCAACCUUGCCCUUUUCUAACAUGUGGUGGGGUGGCCCAGCCCUGGGUGGGAGCCCUUCUACCGAGUGGGGAAGAGCUGCGAGAGGAGGCGCCAUGACGCUCGACCCGACCCGGAAGCAGCAAGAACAGUAAGAGCGGUUCCUGGGCUGCCGAGGGGGCCACCGAAUGUCCAUUUCCUAGUGAGAUGUUGAGCUAAAUGCGUUGUGUCCUCUCGCCAGCAUCUGACCGCCUCCUCUUUCUGGGUCCAGGUAGCGUGCUUGGACACUGGGAAAAAGCUCACAACAAGGAGACAGUGUUUGACUCAAAGUCCCUCAUCUUAGUUCCUUCCAUGAAUGCCCGGGGGUGGGCCACACCAUCCCUGCAGCUUCCUCCGGCUCGGGCGUCCACGGUGCCUUCACAUUUGGUGCGUGAGCCACGGGCUUGCUAGGAGCUCAGGUCCGGUUGCUUUCUGUUCCGCAUUCCCCAGGUACACCAUAAAGUUACUCCAGCCCCGUGAACGGACUCAUCCUGCCUUAGUUCUUUAUGAACAUGACUUUAUUUCAGAUCAGCUCUGCUUCCUCCCACCCCCCAGACUUUAUUCAACUUCCCUAGAAGAUUUUUCCAUGUCCUUGAAGAAAUUUGACCCAUAGGAAAACGUUUGUCCUCCCUCCCGGCUCUGGACGACCCCUGUGUGGGAAGCUGUGAGAGCCGUGGUAGCAGACGUGGGAGGUUUUCAUGACCAAGCAGGACUCAGGGGUGACCUGGAAAUGGUGGCUGACCUUGGGUGAGCCCUCCCAUUCCGGGCCGGUAGUGGGGAAGGGAGGUGUGAGCAGAGCCCCGAGCUGGUAGGAGAUGGCAGCUCUGGAGACCCGCGUGCCCGUCCUGCCUGGACUUCCCCUUCCAGCUCCGAGAUCAUGUGCACGUCGCUCGGGCCUUCUCGGGAGCCUCCGUUUUCUCAACAGCAGAACAGGACAAGGAAGGGACAUCGGCCGGGCCUGACCGGCCUGUUGGUUUCCGUCUGUGUGGCAGGUUCUCAGCUGGCCCGGCUGGUGCCUGACCGUCCCCUGGCAAGGAGCUCCAUCCCCCUGGGCCUUUAGCUGCGCAAGGCAGCGACACGGCGGCCCGAGAAGUCCAUUACCAGGGAGUACUUCAAAGCUGUUUGCCCUUGUCAGUUGCACUGAACUUGAGUUUGUCGAGGGAGAACGCAAAUAGACACACUGGCUGAUGACAGGGGCAGGGAAAGGGGCACUGCUGUUUACCCCGGGGGUAAAUGAGAGGGAAGAGGAAAAAAAAGAGACGAAACCCUGCCUGCCGUUUUGACCAAUAAAUAAAAACUGGGAGCUCGGCGUGGCUCAAACCCUAGGGGAUUUAUUAGUUUGCUUAGAGAAAGGCAAAUACGAAGUCUUAAGCUGACCCGUCCUGGGACCUGCCUCUUGGCUUUUGUAUGCCGUCCGGCGCCGAUCACCGGGUGCUCCGGGUUAUCGAGUCCUGUUGAAAGGUUUUGAAAAAAAAAGAAAAAUUUGUUUCCUGUCUCCUUCUUUGCUUCCUCCUUCGCCGGCCUCUUCCCCUCGCCUCCUGCCUUUUCUUGUAUCUCAGGACUGGGUUUUGGAGAGCUGAGGAGAGCAGGAGCCUGCUCAGAAAACUGCCUGUGCUCAGGGCCCUUGCUGGCCUGGGAACCUCUGGGGCGGCUCAAGGUCAGGGCGGGGCGGGGAGCCAGAGCAGGUGGUCCUCAUGGGCCCCCUCCAUCCUGAACCCUAGGCACCAGGCUAUGGAGCAAAGGCCUGGUCCCUCAUUAAACACGUCGUGGGUGUAGUUACAAGCAUUGGAAAAGAACAGGUGACAGCUGUUUCCGAGUUGUAGCCUUCCCAUCCUCAGUGACUGUUCCUACCUGCCUGACAGCUGGUUGCUGCCUGACGCACUGACAGGUGGGUCUGGGAGCCCACAGAGCAAAAUACCGAACUGAAGGGGCUGGUCGGUCACCCUGGAAGUCAACUUGGUAGGCCAGGGGCUUCACCUCUCACUUCCAGCAUCCCCAGCACGACCUGGGAUAGCCCCGAAGCUACAGUGUUCUUGGGUGCCCGGGUCUAAUGGGUGGGUGCUUGCCGGUCACCCCCUGGUGGGGUGUCAUUGAGCACCCCGCUGCAGUUCCUUUUCCAGGUCCGCCCUUGGAGGGUGCACCUUACCAGAGUGACGGGGACCUGCGCCCACUGUGCAUGCCAGCCAGGAGCUGGGAAUGUCCUGGCACUGUUUAAGAAAGUUCCACUCCUGUUCCAGUAAUGAUUUCUGUUUGAGAUCACCAGGCUUCCUAAUCCUUUGGUGAUUCUUCAUGGAGGAGACGGUUUUUUGAAGAGCAAAUGUUGGACACAUAGGCUGCUGAAAUCCUAUGUGUGCUCAUGUCAAGUGCUUCUUUGUCUAGGAAGUCUUCCUGGACUUCUUCCCUCUCAAUGAUGUGUGACCGCCCUGUCACAUAAUCUUUCUAAGCAUCUCCCAUUGGGUAGAUACUCAGAGAAUGCCGGCCCUUCCUCCUUGAGCAUACGUGUUAGUAUCUCAUUUAGUAUGCUUGUCCUGAACUUGGGGGCACCCUUGCCUCCAGCACAUCUCUUUUCCUGUCUCUGUCUCCCUGUCUCUUCUCUAAGAUCAGAAUCAAAGUCAUUCCUUAGUCCUGGAAAUGUAUCCUUGCCGUGCCCAAUCAUGUUUGGGUCACGUGGCAGGCCCUGUGAUGGGCAUUUCAUGAAUUCCCUCAUUUAAUCGUCAGAAAACAGGGACUUAAAUGCAUCCAUUGCUUUGACCAAGUCUUUUAUGUGAGAGUCGGAGUUCAAAGCCAGGGUCAUUGACAAUGUCAAGUUCAGAACUCGUAAACGUGUGUGUGGUGGCUUUUACAUGGCGGAUGGACAAGAAAGAUGUGGAGUUGACUUUCCCUGUUUACAACCUGUUACUGUGUGUACCACCAACUUGUCUGUUUUCUGUUUGCCCAUGACUAAUCAAUAAAGUGUUCUCUGA